rnacentral:rRNA from 1 species
CCUACGGGUGGCAGCAGUGGGGAAUAUUGCACAAUGGGGGGAACCCUGAUGCAGCGACGCCGCGUGAGUGAAGAAGUAUUUCGGUAUGUAAAGCUCUAUCAGCAGGGAAGAUAAUGACGGUACCUGACUAAGAAGCCCCGGCUAAAUACGUGCCAGCAGCCGCGGUAAUACGAAGGGGGCAAGCGUGAUCCGGAUUUACUGGGGGGAAAGGUUGCGUAGGUGGCAGGGCAAGUCAGAUGUGAAAGCCCGGGGCCCAACCCCGGUACUGCAUUUGAAACUGUCCGGCUGGAGUGCAGGAGAGGUAAGCGGAAUUCCUAGUGUAGCGGUGAAAUGCGUAGAUAUUAGGAGGAACACCAGUGGCGAAGGCGGCUUACUGGACUGUAACUGACACUGAGGCACGAAAGCGUGGGGAGCAAACAGGAUUAGAUACCCUUGUAGUC